AUGGUUAACCAUUACCAGUGGUUAAAUAGGGGGCUUUCAUGGAAGAUUUCUGUCAAAGUGUUAGAGCUUCUCUCAGCUGGGGGAGUUUACUGGGAUGAAGCUGGCAGCAGACACACUGGCGUUAUUUGGCCAGGUUAUAGUUGUGUGUGUUUAGCAGACUGUCAGUGGAAACCAGGCAAUGAAAGGAUUAACUGUCAGACUUCUGAAAACUACAAGCAAGGCUUUCUUGCUGCAGGUCAGAGACUGGAAUAAGGUGUCAUUCAGACUGGAGCUUCUUUCAAGGAAUGAGAAUUUUGUGUCCAAGAUAGCUGAAAGAAUGUUCACAAUUCAAUCCAAAGCAAUGAGGUAAGAAAUGUAUUUUAUCUGUCCUCUUCUCUUCCCACAUCUAAGUUCUAUGUAUGUUCAGUGCCUUGUUUCUGUGGGUGCUGAGGUGAACAUUCCUUCUCUCUUCCAGAAUAGUGUAGUAUACUAGAGUUUGGGAUAUAAAAGUCUACUUGCAGCCAGAAGUCCAUAAUUUAAAACAUGAAGGUCUCUGCACAUCUAUUAUCUUUUUCUCUGCCAUUUCAUGUCCCCCCAGCC
rnacentral:lncRNA from 1 species